UUUCAGCCGAACUGAUCCUUACGUCCUCCAGGAACAGCUCAUCAAGGACGGGGCCUACUAUAUAGUAACACCAGAAGGCACUGUCACUUGGGAUGAAGAAUGAGAAUCCGGGGAUGUGAAAGCUGUAGGAGUGAUGUUGUGUUAUAAAUGAGAAAGAACUGUGUUUCAGAUCCAUAUGUUCAAUAAACUUUAAAACAUU